rnacentral:tRNA from 1 species
GGGCGAGUGGCGGAAUGGCAGACGCUGGGGACUUAAAAUCCCCUGGGGUAAUACCCCGUGCGGGUUCGAUUCCCGCCUCGCCUA